GAGAGAGAGACAUGCGCGCAUAUCAAUAAGCGGAGGAAAAGAAACUAACAAGGAUUCCCUUAGUAACGGCGAGUGAAGCGGGAAGAGCUCAAAUUUGAAAUCUUCAAGGUUUUACCUUGACGAAUUGUAGUUUAAAGAAGUGUUUUCUGUUGGAAGUUUUGGUAAAAGUUCUUUGGAAUAGGACAUCAUAGAGGGUGAGAAUCCCGUAUUUGACCAUUAUUUUCAGCUUUGUGAUACACUUUCAAAGAGUCGGAUUGUUUGGGAAUGCAGUCCAAAAUGGGUGGUAAAUUUCAUCUAAAGCUAAAUAUUGGCGAGAGACCGAUAGCGAACAAGUACCGUGAGGGAAAGAUGAAAAGAACUUUGAAAAGAGAGUUAAACAGUACGUGAAAUUGUCAAAAGGGAAGCGUUCGACACCAGUGUUGUUUUCUCGAAAAUCAAUUAAAAAUGGCUCGAUUUUGUAUUGCUUGAGACCUUAAAAGCUCACUGUACAUUUUUCGUGUCUUUUUUAAUGCACUUUUCGUUUAACAAGUCAACAUCAGUUUCUUUUGUUGUAAAAGGGUCAUUGGAAGGUGGCUUUCUUUUCGGAGAAAGUGUUUAUAGCCUUUGGCCUCUGCAAUCGGAGAGACUGAGGUCUGCAGCGUAGACUCUUCGGGGUUAGAUACGUUUGUGCUAAGUUAUAGCUUUUUAUAGACAACUUGUUGACUAUAAUUAGUCUUGUAGCUUACUCGCUUAUGCUAUUUUACCUACGCUUAGGAUGUUGAAGUCAUCGUAUCGCGC
rnacentral:rRNA from 1 species